rnacentral:rRNA from 1 species
UCCUACGGGAGGCAGCAGUGGGGAAUAUUGCACAAUGGGGGAAACCCUGAUGCAGCGACGCCGCGUGAAGGAAGAAGUAUUUCGGUAUGUAAACUUCCAUCAGCAGGGAAGAAAAUGACGGUACCUGACUAAGAAGCCCCGGCUAACUACGUGCCAGCAGCCGCGGUAAUACGUAGGGGGCAAGCGUUAUCCGGAUUUACUGGGUGUAAAGGGAGCGUAGGCGGUUUAGCAAGUCAGAAGUGAAAACCCGGGGCUCAACUC